rnacentral:tRNA from 1 species
UCCCUGGUGGUCCAGUGGUUAGGACUCUUGAGCUCCCAAUGCAGCGGGCUUGGGUUCGAUCCCUGGUCAGGGAA